rnacentral:rRNA from 1 species
AGGCGGUUUGUCGCGUCUGCUGUGAAAGCCCGGGGCUCAACCCCGGGUCUGCAGUGGGUACGGGCAGACUAGAGUGCAGUAGGGGAGACUGGAAUUCCUGGUGUAGCGGUGAAAUGCGCAGAUAUCAGGAGGAACACCGAUGGCGAAGGCAGGUCUCUGGGCUGUUACUGACGCUGAGGAGCGAAAGCAUGGGGAGCGAACAGGAUUAGAUACCCUGGUAGUCCAUGCCGUAAACGUUGGGCACUAGGUGUGGGGGACAUUCCACGUUUUCCGCGCCGUAGCUAACGCAUUAAGUGCCCCGCCUGGGGAGUACGGCCGCAAGGCUAAAACUCAAAGGAAUUGACGGGGGCCCGCACAAGCGGCGGAGCAUGCGGAUUAAUUCGAUGCAACGCGAAGAACCUUACCAAGGCUUGACAUUCACCGGACCGCCCCAGAGAUGGGGUUUCCCUUCGGGGCUGGUGGAUCUGGUGUUGCUCUGCUUUUCUUUCAGUUGCUCGUCUUGUGAGACUUGUGUUAAUAUCCCCCACACGCGCGCUACACCUCUGUUUUAAUGUUGCCACGCAACCUUAUGUGUUGGGGAACUUAUUAGGGAAGACUGCCCGGGGUCAACCUCCGGAGGAAUGGUGGGGAUGACGUCAAAUCAUCAUGCCCCUUAUGUCUUGGGCUUCACGCAUGCUACAAUGGCCGGUACAAAGGGUUGCGAUACUGUG